CUGGCCACCCUACCCUAAUCUUAUUAUGUAACUGAACUUUCCCCUUGGCCAGGGCCAUCUUGUCUGCUCCUUACUGUACAUGUGGCUGGCAGAGAAGGGAAGGUGGAGCCGCUAUUUUGAACAUGAUUGGCACAACUGCCAGCAUCUAUAUCUGCAGCUUGAUUUUACAGGCUGCUCUUUGUUAGAAAGGAACAUGAUUUGGGGCUACUUUUCAUUAAAAGGAAAACUGUACCGAAGACUUCCAUACCCUCACUAUCUGUGAUCCCAUCUUGGAUACCACAUUACCUUAAACACUGCCUCAGCCAGGUGAUCAAGGUCAACGUCUACUGUGAUAAGUCAUGGUUUUGGUGUGUACCCUUGAUGUGAUGUGAUAAAAAUGGCACUUUACCUCUGUGGUCUUCCUCUGAAAAAUCCCGUAACAGCAGCCUAAUCAUGAGAAGCAUAUCAACAAAACUCAGACUCAGGGACAUUCUACAAAAUACCAGGCUGUCCCUCCCUGAAAUUGUCAAGUUCACCAAAAACAAGGUGAAUCUAAGAAACCUGUUACAGCCAAGAGGAGCCUAAGAAGACAUGAGGACUAAAUAUAACAUGGAAUUCGGGAUAGGAUUGUGCUACAGAAAAUGUAUGUGCUAAUGUGAGAUGUUAACAGUUGGAGAAACUCAGUUUUGGGUAUAAGGAAUUCUCUGUACUAUGUUUAUCUAAAAACAAUUCCAUGGUGAGCAAACUUAAGCAUAGAAAUGUUAAAUAAAUUGUCCAAAAUAGAGAAGUAAAUAGCAGUGCCAGGUUUCAAGCAUAAGAAUCAUCAACUCUGAACUUUAAACACAGCUCUGUAUGGUACUUUUGUUUAUAUCAAUGCCUAGAUAGAUAAAUAGGUAGAUAGAUAAUUUCCAAGUGCUAGAAACAAAAAAGGAACUAAAACUGAUAAAGAAUAUAAAUGAGGCCAGGCAGGGUGGCUCACACCUGUAAUCCCAGCAUUUUGGGAGGCCGAGGCAGGCAGAUCACUGAAGGUUCGGAGUUCAAGACCAGCCUGGCCAACUGGGGAAACCCUGUCUCUACUAAAAAAAAAAAAAAAUAGCCAGGCAUGGUGGCAUGUGCCUGUGAAGCAAGAGAUGUGAGAGGAAAAACAAAUUUUUCCUCUUUCUUUUGGUAUGGGCAGCUUCCCCCUUGAAUCCCUCCUCACUCCUUGUGAUUUUACCCUGCUCUGUAAGUUUUAUGAGUUUAUAGAUUCCUGUUUUCUGUAACUAGUGUCUGUAAGUCUCUGUAGCACCGUGGAGGUAAUGAGACAUGCUUGAGCAAGCUUAGAUUGCAGCCAUCUGGGCGCCAUAGCGAAGGACACGAGAUAAGGCUGUGCAGGCAUCUUGAGCAAACCUAGAUAACAGCCACCUGGCCUGCACAGCAAGAAUCAUGUGUAAGCUUGAGUUAGGAACCUGUCACAGUUUGAUUAACUGCCUUUGUUCUGCUUCUGUAAGCUUGCUUUCCACACCCCACAAGCUUUGCGCCACUGGCAAGCCACCCUCCUUCAGUUGCAUGAAUAAAAGUCAAGCCCUGUCUUCUUUUGUUGCUCAGCCUCUGGAUAUUAAUCCACUAAGCCAGUGGCAACCUAAAUAAAAUCCUCCUGUUCCACCCAUCUGGUCUCUCCAGUCUCCUCAUUCCUGCAACACCUGCAAUCCCAGCUACAUGGGAGGCUGAGGCAGGAGAAUCACUUGAACCUGGGAGGCAGAGGGCACAGUGAGCCAAGAUGGUGCCACUGCACUCCAUCCUGGGUGACAGAGAGAGACUCAGUCUCAAAAAAAAAAAAAAAAAGAAUAUAAGUGAAUGUUGACCUCAUGGGGACUCACUGGUGUUUCAGACAUCAAGACUAUAGGCUAGAGUUCAAGACCCAGUGAGGAGAUGUGAUAUGAUUUUGUGUGAGGCAAGCAUCAAAAGCAGACACCUGUGUGUAAAGCCCAGAGAUCUGAAGAGCUAACCUGUCUGUGAAAAGGGAAUUAGAUAAAACACAGGCUACCAGUUCACAGAUGCUAGAGAGAGCUUGCUGUCAGCCUAGGGGGAAUUCUCACCAACUGAAAAAUUCCUAUCAGUGUUCAAUGACAUACGACAUUCAUAGAGAUUCUGAAUUGCCCAAGGAGUUUCCAAAUUGUAAUUCUAAUCCAUGAGUUUUGGGCAAUUUAGUGGCUUUGUGAUAAGAAAGGGGAAAUGCAAAACUUCUCUUGUAAGACUCGUGGUGUGAGCUGGUCCUGAAGUUCUUGAUCAUUUUGUUAGCACCCAAACUGGUUUGUCAACAAACUUUGAGAGUCAAAAGCUUGAGAGACAUGCACAUCAAAGACCAUGACAAAAAGGGAAGAAAAGCAACAACAGCACAGAAG
rnacentral:lncRNA from 10 species